GAUGAACGCUAGCGGCAGGCCUAAUCAUGCAAGUCGUACGGCAACACAGUUUGCGAGCAAUCGCAACCGGUGGCGAGUGGCGCACGGGUGAGUAACGCGUAUGUAACCUACCCUUCUCCGGGACAUAACUCCGCGAAAGCGGUGCUAAUAUCCCAUACCAACUCAUCAAGACAUCUUCUUGAGUUGAAAGCAGCAAUGCGGUGAAGGAUGGGCAUGCGUCCCAUUAGCUGGUUGGUGAGGUAAUGGCCCACCAAGGCUACGAUGGGUAGGGGUUCUGAGAGGAAAGCCCCCCACACUGGUACUGAGACACGGACCAGACUCCUACGGGAGGCAGCAGUAAGGAAUAUUGGGCAAUGGUCGAAAGACUGACCCAGCCAUGCCGCGUGCAGGAUGAAGGCCCUAUGGGUUGUAAACUGCUUUUAGCCGGGAAUAAACACCCGUUUUAUAACGGGCCCGAAGGUACCGGCUGAAUAAGCAUCGGCUAACUCCGUG
rnacentral:rRNA from 1 species